GGGCGGGGGGCAAUCCAGCAAGGAGUGGAGUUAUACACAAGAAUGUGGAAUAGGGAAAGGAGCCCUGAAUCUGAAUCCAUAGCAGCACAGUGUGAAUACCUGUGAAGUCACACACAAUGAAGGGCAGAAACAGCAGCGGUUAAAGCAUCAGCUAUAGGAUGGAUGCCACCAGGAACCAGACAGUGUGGCAAUCCAGUGGUGGCAAUGACCUUUGGAAUGCCCAUGGCAACCUCUACAAUGUCACACCUCACAACUCCACUGGCAAAAUGGGCCUUGUCUUCGAUCCGGUCACAGACAAGGCUGUCAAUUGCCUCACUGUGAUCAUCCUCUGCACAACCAUGGUGUCCCUGGGCUGCACUAUGGAGGUCGCAAAGAUCAAGGUCCACAUUCUUAAGCCCAAAGGGGUGGCCAUUGCUCUGGUGGCUCAGUUUGGUAUCAUGCCCCUUGCUGCCUUCAUGUUAGCCAAGAUCUUCCAGGUGGACCCUAUGGAAGCAGUAACCAUACUCAUCUGUGGCUGUUGUCCAGGAGGCAACCUCUCCAAUGUUUUCACUUUGGCUCUUGAGGGCGAUAUGAACCUUAGCAUUGUGAUGACCACCUGCUCAACUGUAAUGGCAUUGGGAAUUAUGCCACUUCUCCUCUUUUUGUACUGCAAGGGCAUUCCCAACAUACAGAAUAACAUGCCUUAUGCUGGCAUUGUCAUUGCCCUGAUAAUGACCUUAUUGCCUUGUCUAGUUGGUAUCGCCAUCAACCACUGGGCACCGCGCUACUCUCCAAUUGUUAAGAAGAUUGGAUUGAGCCUCUUAUUGAUUGCAGCAGUGGUCAUUGGUAUCAUAUCAAGUAUCACAGUUGGGGAUACACUUUGGGUGGUCGUGUCACCUAAGAUGACAGCCACGGCAUUCUUGAUGCCACUCAUUGGCUUCCUACUUGGGUAUAUCAUGUCUAGUGUCUUUAGGCUCACAGAGGGAUGCAAGAGGACCGUUGCAAUGGAGACCGGCUGUCAGAACAUUCAACUGUGCUCCACCAUCUUGAAAAUCACCUUUCCAAUGGAGGUCAUUGGAGCCCUGUUCCUGUUCCCAGUUCUCUACAUCUUUUUCCAGGGCAUUGAAUCUCUGCUCCUCAUCAUUAUUUACAGAUGUUACAAAAGGUUCAAGCCAGCAGUCAAGGGUACACAUCCUCUGAUUUGUGCUCUGUGAUCUCCACACACUCUUUUGUGCUGCUUAAGAAGGCCAACAUGGAGUAUGGGUGAGAAACCCAUAUACCUCACAGUGGAAGGUAAAGCAGAGGAGAUGAAGGCACCAUAGAUGUGGCUGGUCCCGUUUAAUCAGGAUGAGGUCAGAGCUGCAGAAGGAUCUUUGAUUGGGCUCCUCUCAAGGUUCCAACAAGUGUGAAGACCAGAUGACUGCUGUAAUGAUGUGUAUUGUCUGUGAUACCCAGCUUGUCCAGCUUGGUAGUUUUGUAAAGUACAAGAGACAAGGGUGUUCCAUUUCCAGUGUGUAACAUACCACUGUAGAUGCUUCACUUUUCAUUACCCAUGAACAAGCCUGGGGCAUACUGUAACUAUGAGGCAUUGGUCAGCCUUCUGCACAUGGAUGGUAAGAUUAAGGUGGGCAUUUGUCCCAAAAGGUGCAUCUGGACCUGAUAUUGAAUAUCUACCUCAAUGAGAUUUCUUCAAAGAGAUUUACUCAAGAUUUACUUCAUAACAUAAUCCAUUAGCAAACAUGCAACCCUCCAUUACUCAGUAUGCAAACUAUGUUCCUGUAAGACAUUUAUGUCUGAACUUGUUAUAAUAUGUUUUGAUAAUAAAAAUCAAAUUAAACCACUGCUUUAGCUGAAAAGCAAAUGUAUGUAGGCCUACUGUAAAAGCAAAAACGCAGUUCUUUGGCAUCUGUUAGGAAAUUGCUUUAGUGCAAUGCCGCAAUGUGUGUAGUUCAUUUAUUACUCUCACCCUCCCUCCCUGUUUAGCAGUCAGCAAUAUUGAACUUCUACAGUCAUCAACAUUUUCUUCCACAUGCAUUAAAGAAACUGAAAAGAU